UACAGAGGUCCCAAGCGUUGUUCGGAUUCACUGGGCGUAAAGGGUGCGUAGGUGGUGAGGUAAGUCGGAUGUGAAAGCUCGGAGCUCAACUCCGAAAUGGCAUUGGAAACUACCUUGCUCGAGGGUUGGAGGGGGGACUGGAAUACUUGGUGUAGCAGUGAAAUGCGUAGAUAUCAAGUGGAACACCAGUGGCGAAGGCGGGUCUCUGGGCCGUUACUGACGCUGAGGAGCGAAAGCGUGGGGAGCGAACAGG
rnacentral:rRNA from 1 species